rnacentral:rRNA from 1 species
CCUACGGGAGGCAGCAGUGAGGAAUAUUGGUCAAUGGGCGCGAGCCUGAACCAGCCAAGUAGCGUGAAGGAUGACUGCCCUACGGGUUGUAAACUUCUUUUAUAAAGGAAUAAAGUGAGGCACGUGUGCCUUUAUGUGUGUACUUUAUGAAUAAGGAUCGGCUAACUCCGUGCCAGCAGCCGCGGUAAUACGGAGGAUCCGAGCGUUAUCCGGAUUUAUUGGGUUUAAAGGGAGCGUAGAUGGGUUGUUAAGUCAGUUGUGAAAGUUUGCGGCUCAACCGUAAGAUUGCAAUUGAUACUGGCAGUCUUGAGUACAGGUGAGGUAGGCGGAAUGCGUGGUGUAGCGGUGAAAUGCUUAGAUAUCACGAAGAACUCCGAUUGCGAAGGCAGCUUACUAAACUGACACUGACAUUGAGGCACGAAAGUGUGGGUAUCAAACAGGAUUAGAUACCCGAGUAGUC